rnacentral:rRNA from 1 species
AUGAACGCUGGCGGCGUGCCUAAUACAUGCAAGUCGAGCGAACAGACGAGGAGCUUGCUCCUCUGACGUUAGCGGCGGACGGGUGAGUAACACGUGGAUAACCUACCUAUAAGACUGGGAUAACUUCGGGAAACCGGAGCUAAUACCGGAUAAUAUAUUGAACCGCAUGGUUCAAUAGUGAAAGACGGUUUUGCUGUCACUUAUAGAUGGAUCCGCGCCGCAUUAGCUAGUUGGUAAGGUAACGGCUUACCAAGGCAAGGAUGCGUAGCCGACCUGAGAGGGUGAUCGGCCACACUGGAACUGAGACACGGUCCAGACUCCUACGGGAGGCAGCAGUAGGGAAUCUUCCGCAAUGGGCGAAAGCCUGACGGAGCAACGCCGCGUGAGUGAUGAAGGUCUUCGGAUCGUAAAACUCUGUUAUUAGGGAAGAACAAAUGUGUAAGUAACUAUGCACGUCUUGACGGUACCUAAUCAGAAAGCCACGGCUAACUACGUG